rnacentral:rRNA from 1 species
UACGUAGGGGGCAAGCGUUAUCCGGAUUUACUGGGUGUAAAGGGAGCGUAGACGGCAUGGCAAGUCUGAUGUGAAAACCCGGGGCUCAACCCCGGGACUGCAUUGGAAACUGUCAGGCUAGAGUGUCGGAGAGGCAAGUGGAAUUCCUAGUGUAGCGGUGAAAUGCGUAGAUAUUAGGAAGAACACCAGAGGCGAAGGCGGCUUACUGGACUGCAACUGACACUGAGGCUCGAAAGCGUGGGGAGCAAACAGG